rnacentral:rRNA from 1 species
CAUAGGUUAAUGAGGCGAACCGGGGGAACUGAAACAUCUAAGUACCCCGAGGAAAAGAAAUCAACCGAGAUUCCCCCAGUAGCGGCGAGCGAACGGGGAGGAGCCCAGAGCCUGAAUCAGUGUGUGUGUUAGUGGAAGCGUCUGGAAAGGCGCGCGAUACAGGGUGACAGCCCCGUACACAAAAAUGCACAUAUUGUGAGCUCGAUGAGUAGGGCGGGACACGUGGUAUCCUGUCUGAAUAUGGGGGGACCAUCCUCCAAGGCUAAAUACUCCUGACUGACCGAUAGUGAACCAGUACCGUGAGGGAAAGGCGAAAAGAACCCCGGCGAGGGGAGUGAAAAAGAACCUGAAACCGUGUACGUACAAGCAGUGGGAGCCUCUUUAUGGGGUGACUGCGUACCUUUUGUAUAAUGGGUCAGCGACUUAUAUUCUGUAGCAAGGUUAACCGAAUAGGGGAGCCGAAGGGAAACCGAGUCUUAACUGGGCGUUAAGUUGCAGGGUAUAGACCCGAAACCCGGUGAUCUAGCCAUGGGCAGGUUGAAGGUUGGGUAACACUAACUGGAGGACCGAACCGACUAAUGUUGAAAAAUUAGCGGAUGACUUGUGGCUGGGGGUGAAAGGCCAAUCAAACCGGGAGAUAGCUGGUUCUCCCCGAAAGCUAUUUAGGUAGCGCCUCGUGAAUUCAUCUCCGGGGGUAGAGCACUGUUUCGGCAAGGGGGUCAUCCCGACUUACCAACCCGAUGCAAACUGCGAAUACCGGAGAAUGUUAUCACGGGAGACACACGGCGGGUGCUAACGUCCGUCGUGAAGAGGGAAACAACCCAGACCGCCAGCUAAGGUCCCAAAGUCAUGGUUAAGUGGGAAACGAUGUGGGAAGGCCCAGACAGCCAGGAUGUUGGCUUAGAAGCAGCCAUCAUUUAAAGAAAGCGUAAUAGCUCACUGGUCGAGUCGGCCUGCGCGGAAGAUGUAACGGGGCUAAACCAUGCACCGAAGCUGCGGCAGCGACACUAUGUGUUGUUGGGUAGGGGAGCGUUCUGUAAGCCUGUGAAGGUGGCCUGUGAGGGUUGCUGGAGGUAUCAGAAGUGCGAAUGCUGACAUAAGUAACGAUAAAGCGGGUGAAAAGCCCGCUCGCCGGAAGACCAAGGGUUCCUGUCCAACGUUAAUCGGGGCAGGGUGAGUCGACCCCUAAGGCGAGGCCGAAAGGCGUAGUCGAUGGGAAACAGGUUAAUAUUCCUGUACUUGGUGUUACUGCGAAGGGGGGACGGAGAAGGCUAUGUUGGCCGGGCGACGGUUGUCCCGGUUUAAGCGUGUAGGCUGGUUUUCCAGGCAAAUCCGGAAAACCAAGGCUGAGGCGUGAUGACGAGGCACUACGGUGCUGAAGCGACAAAUGCCCUGCUUCCAGGAAAAGCCUCUAAGCAUCAGGUAACAUCAAAUCGUACCCCAAACCGACACAGGUGGUCAGGUAGAGAAUACCAAGGCGCUUGAGAGAACUCGGGUGAAGGAACUAGGCAAAAUGGUGCCGUAACUUCGGGAGAAGGCACGCUGAUAUGUAGGUGAAGCGACUUGCUCGUGGAGCUGAAAUCAGUCGAAGAUACCAGCUGGCUGCAACUGUUUAUUAAAAACACAGCACUGUGCAAACACGA